GAAGACUGGGCCCCCGGGCUCGGCCGGGCUCGCGAAGGUGCUCCCGCCGAGCAUGCGCCGCGGCGCGGGUCCUGCCGGGAUUGUAGUCCGCGAGCCAGGCUUCCUGCGUGGGCGGCUGGGGACAAGCUUUGGAGGGGGCUGACGGGUGUUCCCGAACUUGGAGGAGGCCUUUCCUUCCCCCAGGGAGGAGCGGCGUGCUUAUUCAGGUAAUGAGGAGGACCUGCCCCGAGAGCCGGGAGAGUUCUGACAGAUCCAACUUCUCGGCCCCCCAGCCUCAGUUUCCCCACCUACAUUACGGCCCAGUGAUUGCCAAGGUAUACAGUUCCACGGGGCAGCGCUUUGUUCGCAAGUGUGCCGGAACACCUCCCACCACCGCGCUUUUGCUCCACUGGUGGUCAGUCAGGAAUGCCCUCCCCAGUCCCUCGCCCCUGGGAAUCUCCUACACAUCCUUCAGGGUCCAUCGUAAAAGGCUACGCGUAGCAGCGCGGGAUUCACGGGCCAUCCAGCUAGAGAGGGGCAGAGCCUCCUUGAGAACAGGCCAGGGAUUACUGCUGUCGCCAAGGACACUAGAGCCAGUGGCCAGGCUCAUUGGUGGAUGCAGAGAACCCAGGCUCAGGGGAGCCCAGGCAAGGCAAGGCCAUGAACACAGGACCUUCAGUGAUAUUGGGUGCCACCAUCCUACUCUGGGAGCACUGGAAGGGAGAGCAUAUCCCUCCUUCAAAUCUCCCAGCCUUGGGUCAACCUCAGGCCAGGGAAUGACUGCUCCCUUCUUGGCAUUUCCUGGGUGAGGUGGCCUCGCCCUCCUUCUCCGCCCUCCCCCUCCUCCAUCCUCUCCUCCUCCUCCUCCUCCUCCUCUGGCACUCCAGGGCCCUAGCCCAGCUCGAGGUAAGACUCAGGUCUGGCUUCAAAUCCCAAGACAUCUCCUUGCUAGCUGGAUGACCUCAAGUAAGCCACUUGUCCACCUUGGGCUUAUUUCCUCAUCUAUAAUAUGUACAAAGGACUAAAUGAGAUGAUUCAAAACAGGAGUUGAGCAUGGGGCAUAUUCCUUGAGAGCCAGCCGGCUUUAGGACUCUCUUUAGGACCUGCUGGCUGCUUCACCAUUCUUCAAAUGUGCUAGACAUGUCCUACCUCAGGACCUUUGCACUCACUGAUUCCCUGCCUGGAACACUUUUACUCCAGCACUUAGCCAAAUCCCUCACAACCUUUUGGUUUUAACUUAAAUGAUACUUGCUCAAAGAAACCUAUUUCCCUCACUCCUGAUGCCCUUUCCUGCCUGAUUCUUCUGCCUAUGUCUCUCAUGAAUUAAAAAAAAAAAAAAAAAAGUGAGUGGGGGCAGGGGUAGAGAAAGGAGGAGAGAGA